rnacentral:rRNA from 1 species
GUAAUCCGGGUUGCGGACAGUGUCUGGUGGGUAGUUUGACUGGGGCGGUCUCCUCCUAAAGAGUAACGGAGGAGCACGAAGGUUGGCUAAUCCUGGUCGGACAUCAGGAGGUUAGUGCAAUGGCAUAAGCCAGCUUGACUGCGAGCGUGACGGCGCGAGCAGGUGCGAAAGCAGGUCAUAGUGAUCCGGUGGUUCUGAAUGGAAGGGCCAUCGCUCAACGGAUAAAAGGUACUCCGGGGAUAACAGGCUGAUACCGCCCAAGAGUUCAUAUCGACGGCGGUGUUUGGCACCUCGAUGUCGGCUCAUCACAUCCUGGGGCUGAAGUAGGUCCCAAGGGUAUGGCUGUUCGCCAUUUAAAGUGGUACGCGAGCUGGGUUUAGAACGUCGUGAGACAGUUCGGUCCCUAUCUGCCGUGGGCGCUGGAGAACUGAGGGGGGCUGCUCCUAGUACGAGAGGACCGGAGUGGACGCAUCACUGGUGUUCGGGUUGUCAUGCCAAUGGCACUGCCCGGUAGCUAAAUGCGGAAGAGAUAAGUGCUGAAAGCAUCUAAGCACGAAACUUGCCCCGAGAUGAGUUCUCCCUGACUCCUUGAGAGUCCUGAAGGAACGUUGAAGACGACGACGUUGAUAGGCCGGAUGUGUAAGCGCAGCGAUGCGUUGAGCUAACCGGUACUAAUGAACCGUGAGGCUUAACCUUACAACGCCGAAGCUGUU